rnacentral:lncRNA from 1 species
UAAAAUUACAUUUUAUUCUUAUUUCUACUGUUUCUUUUUUUUCCAAAUAUCUUUUUGUCAUUUUAAUACUAUUCUAUUUAAUUCAUAUUUAAAUUCACUUUUAAUGACCUUUUAUUAUAUUUUUACAUGACAGUUGAGUAUAUUUUGAAAUAUCAUGCAUACAUAGAAUACGUAUAACUUAUUCCAAAUAAGAUCUCAUUAUUGUUGAUGUGGAGUUACAUUGGACAUGUAUUAAUAUAUGACCAUUGGGAAGUUAUGUCUGAUUUAUUCUACUAUUUCUCCCCUUCUUUCUCUUCAUUCCCCUUUGUAUAGCCCAGUGAACUUCUAAUAUUCUCCUCCUUUGUUGUGAGUUAGCAUCCACAUAUCAGAGAGAACAUUCUGCCUUUGCUUUUGGGGAACUGUCUUAUUUCAACAUUUCUCUUAGCAUGAUAUUCUCCAGUUCCAUCCAUUUACCAGCAAAUGUCAUAAUUUCAUUCUUCUUUAUGGCUGAGUAAUAUUCAUCAUGCAUAUAUACCACAUAUUCCUUAUCAAUUCAACUGUUGUAAGGAACCUAGGUUGGUUCCAUAGCUUGGUUAUUGUGAAUUGAAAUACUAUAAGCAUUGAUGUGGCUAUGUCACUGUAGUAUGCCAAUUUUAAGUUAUUUACAUAUAUACCAAAGAGUAGGAUAACAGGGUAAAUUGGUGGUUCCAUUCCAACUUUUCUUAGGAAUCUCCACAGUGCUUUCCAGAGUGGUUCCACCAAUUUUCUGUCUUACCAGCAAUGUAUGAGUAAACCUCUUUCUCCACAUCCUCACCAACAAUUAUUGUUGCUUGUAUUCUUAAUAAUUGCCACUCAAGGAUGAAAUGGAAUCUCAAUGUAGUUUUGAUUUGCUUUUCUCUAAUUGCUAGAAAUGUUGAACUUUUUUUCAUGUAUUUUUUGACUACUUGUAUUUCUUCUGUGAAGCACCUGUUCAGUUCCUUAGCCCAUUUAUUGACUGGAUUAUUUGUUGUUUUGAUGUGAAGUUUUUCGAGCCCUUUGUAUAUCCUGGAGAUUAAUGCUCUAUCUGAGAUGCAGGUGGUAAAGAUUUCCUCCCAUUCUGUAGGCUCUCUGUUCAUAUUCUUGAUUAUUUUCUUUGAUGUGAAGAAGCUUAGCAGUUUGAUACUUUCCCAUGUAUUGAUUUUAUUUCUUGUACUUUAGAGUCUUACUGAGGAAGUUUGUUCCUAAUCCAACAUGGUAGAGAGUUGUGCCUACUUUUUCUUCUAGUAGGUGCAGUGUUUCUAAGGUCUAAGGUUUUAGUCCUUGAUCCACUUAGAGUUGAGUUUUGGGCAGGGUGAAAGGUGGGUUCAAUUUUAUUCUACAACGUAUGGAUUUUCAAUUUUCCCAGCACAAUUUGUUGAUGAAGCUAUCUUUUCUCCAAUGUAUGUUUUUGGUGCCUCUAUCUAGUAUGAAAUAACUGUAUUAUAUGGAUUUGACUCUGUGUCUUCUAGUUUGUUCCAUUAGUCUUCAUGUCAAUUUUUGUGCGAAUACUAUACCACUUUUGAAACUUUAGCUCUGUAGUAUAAUGUAAGAUCUGGUAUUGUGAUGUCUCCUGCUUCAUUUUUCUUGCUAAGGAUUGCUUUAUCUAUUCUUAUUUUUCCAAAAAAAAAAUUCAUAACUUUUUUUUUCUAUUUCUGUGAAGAUAAUCAUUGGAAUUUCAACAGGAAUUUCAUUAAAUCUAUAUAGAGCUUUUGGUAGUAUGGCCAUUUGAGAAUAUUAAUUCUGCCUAGCCAAGAACAUGGGAGAUUUUUUCAUCUUCUACAGUUUUCUUCAAUUUCUUUCUUUAGUGCUCUGUAGUUUUCAUUGUAGAGGUGUUUUACCUCUUUGUUAGAUUUAUUACCCAUUUUCUGAUACAUUUUUGAAUGGGAUAGUUUUCCUAUUUUCUCUUUAAGAUUCUUAACAGAAAAGGAAACAAUCAUGAAUGUGGACAGAGAGCCUCCAUAAUGGGAGAAAACCUUUGCCACCUGCAUCUCAGAUAAAGCAUUAAUUUCCAGGAUAGGUAAAGAACUUAACUCCAAAACCCAAAUAACCCAAUUAAUAAAUGGGCAAAGGAACUGAACAGGCACUUCUAAAUAACUAACGUAAUGUUUGUAUAUGGACUAUAUAAUAUGAAUUCAGGCCAACAAUACAUGAAAGGACUGGAUUUUAUUUAUAGCUGCUUAGGAAUGACAUCUUCUCUUUGAGUCCCUGAAUGGACAGGUUUGUUCCUAAUUUUUUUCUUCCUAACUAUAUACUUCCAUGAGUUUCUGAUUUUGAAUCAGAGGCAAUUUCCAUUAGAUCCUUUGUCUCAAAUAUCCUUUCAACAUUGUUAUUGACAUUUUCCAUACUCUAAGUUUUAUUUCCAUGUGUCGUUCAUAUAUAGCAGACUUACAAAGGAAAUUUGACAAAUGACCAAGAAAUAAUUUAUUACUUGCAUUUUUUUAAUAUUUAUUAUUUUUUAGUUGUAGUUGGACACAUUAUCUUUAUUUUAUUCUAUGUGAUGCUGAGGAUCAAACCCAGGGCCUCACACGUGCUAGGUGAGCGAUCUACCACUGAGCCACAAUCCCAGCCCUGACUUGCAUUUUUAUACCCUGAAUAAACUCAGUGCAUAUUGAAAAACUGAACCUAUGAUAUCUUUGAAACACUUUUCUAUGUCUCUGACUCCCUUAAGAGUCUUUAAUCAAGACUGGCUAUUUGUUGAUUUAUAGUCACAACAGUUAGCACUGCUUUUACCUCAUAAAAUACAUUCAGUAGCCACUUGACAUAGUUUUGAAGCCUGUUUGCAAAAAUAACCCAUUUCUGCUUCACAUAUUUUCAGUUAGACUUAUUAUUAAAUACUCUCUUUUUAAAAAUAUAAAAUCUUCCUAAUUUAAGAAUGGUUUCUAUAGUUUGAUCUGAAACUUGAUGUCAAUUUGAUAGCACUAGAAACACAUUUAAUCAACAAAAAUUUCUCAAGUGCCUAUUAUAUGUCAGAAUAAAUGCUGAAUACUAGCAUAACAGAAGUAAUCUUCAUAAAUCAAACCUCAAUAAUUUGAAUUGAAGCCAGAAUUAUUAUUCUCUCUUCCUUUCCUCUAUCUAGCAUUCUCCUGACCCUUAAAUAAAAAUCUAGGUCAAGUCUUAUGAUUUAUGCAGUCAUGCUCAGAUGAUAGAAAUUCCUCGUCACUUAUGAUUCACAAGCAUAAUCUUAUCUCAGGAAUAGUCAAAUCUACAAAUUUUAUUUGAAUGAAAUGAUUUUCUCCUGUUCUACUUUUGACAACAGUAGAAAAAGAGGGUUAUGAUUGACUUUUUUUUUUUCGCUAGGUUUUUUUUUGCUAGUCAUACUGUGACUUUUGUCCAAAAAUAAGAGAGGUGAUCAAUCAGGAAAAGUCUUAUUAGACUUAGUACAGAUUUGAACUAACACUGGUUUCCCUUCCUGUGGUAGAUAUUGAUACUGAAAAAUACACUUUCUCCUUCAGAGUGACUUGUGGUCCCAUUUAAGACAUCCCUAAAUUGCUGGCUGUCACUUGUUUAGUGCACACAGUAGAAGGUAUAGCAUGCUAGUGUAUAAUUGGUCACUGCUAAUUUCCCUGUGACCUCCUCAGCAUGAUAGCCUGUUCUCAUUCAGGGGAUCUCUGUGAGAAUACACAGUAUAGGAAAUCUUCGAAGUCAAAAUUAUUUAAGAAAAUUGAAAGCAAGUUUUCUUUAUUUCUCACAUGGCCACGUAUGAUCUUUGGGUAACACACUUUUGAAUCUGCAGCAACACAAAUGUCUUAUUCAUCUAAAUACAGAUCUCUGUGUGCUGCCACAUGUAACUUUAGUUAAAUUCAUUUUAGUUUUGUAGUUUAUCAGUGCCUCCACUGCCAGAUUUAAAGUGAGGAAAAGUAACUUUUCUUACUUUCCUUAUGGGGAUUUGGGUUGUCAUUCAAGGCAAAAUCUGUGCAAACAAAUAUUCAAAUUUAUAAAAUCCUUAUUGAAAUAUCAAUUUCACUUACAUAGACAGUGGUGUAAUUUUCAUGCAGUUCCUAUGCAGAUUCAAUAUUGGUUGCUUACAAUAGCAUUUGUAGUAUAAAAGCAUUUGGCACUCAGGAUCUGAGCUAAAACUGAGAGACUACUAUUUCUAGCUCUCUUUUAUGUAGUGAUGAAUAGAAGCUUACUAUAUAGGUGUUCACAUUGUAAGAGAAAAUUAGCAUACAGUAAUUGCUAACAGCAUGAUACUUGUUUUAAUGACAUAUAAAGCACUUACUCUGAGAUCCCCAGAAGAUUAAAAGAAUAAUUCUGCCUGGUUAUAUAACGUAAUUCUUAAAAAGUAGGCAAUAUUUGAUGGGUAGUUGAAAGAUGAGUAGAAGUUUGGCAGGAAUAGAAUAGCAAAAGCUUAUUCAACCAGAAGAGCUAUAUGUUCACAAGCAAAGAGGAAGAGAAUAAAAUUUGUUUGAGAGAAAACAAAAAAGUGGGGGGUGGGAGAAUGAGGGAUGGAAAUGAUGCUAGUUAAGUAUUUUGGACAAGAUGCCAAUAGUCUUAUGCCAUGUUUUAGGAAAUAAAGAGUUAAGAAUUUUUAUUCUAGAUAUAAUCAUGAUGCACUUUAGGUGAAAAUAAAGUAUUUCUCAUGAUGAUUGUGAUGUAAAAAUGGUCCAAGAUAGAGAAGUAGAGAACCCUGAAAAAGUUUCCUUGAAAAACAGGCUCUGAGAUACCAGACUUAAAACUAUAUUACAGAGCAAUAGUAACAAAAACAGCAUGGUACUGGUACCAUAACAGGAGGGUGGACCAAUGGUACAGAAUAGAGGACACAGAGACUAAUCCACAAAGCUACAACUAUCUUAUAUUUGAUAAAGGAGCUAAAAGCAUACAAUGGAGGGAGGAUAGCAUCUUCAACAAAUGGUGCUGGGAAAACUGGAAAUCCAUAUGCAACAAAAUGAAAC